CCGGCGUGAGCGCUGGACCAGAUGCCAGCUCCUCCCCCGGGUGUCCUUCCCUGAGGGGCUCAGAGAGCAACCGUCCGCCCUCAGCAGCAGGGCCGCCUCUGGCCCCAGGGGCCUUGGACCACCAAGAGGCAAGCUGCUCUCUGGGCCAGGGUGUCCCCCAUGUGGACGUGUGGACGCCAGGCUGAGGGGCAGAGGUCUCUGUUGGCGGAAGGUGUGCAGCACAUGGCGGAGCCCCAAGCCCUCAGGGAGAGGCAGUGUCGGAGUAACGUGGAGACUCCCAGCUGGACAGGGGCACGUUUGUGAUCUUGUGAACACCCACAUGAAGCGUCCAGGUUUGAGGGCUGGACUUGAACAUCCAGGGAGACCUGGGCAAGCGACCCCCUCCAACCAGACCGACAGUCCUCCCCUGGAAGACACCCCUGGCUCUCCCUGUCUCCCCUCCCUCUGUCCAGGGACGUCGGGAGGCCAGGGCAGGUGGGGCCAGGGCAGGUGGGGCCGGGGCCGCAGGCGUCUGAGGCCGACUCUGGGUGAGCGCCGUCUCUGAGCUCCGGAUUCCUUCCUCACCGCGAGCACUUUCUACGGGAAGAGGCGGCCAAGAGGCCGUGGCUCUGGGGCAGCGCAGACGCCCAGGCAGGGCGA
rnacentral:lncRNA from 1 species